UUGUUUGCAUAUAUGUAUACAAUAUGGAUUUUAAAACAGUUAAAAAUGCAAGACAAAAAGUAUCCCACCAGAAUAUACAGGAGAUUGAUGACUGCACAACAACAACAAAAUGCAAACCAGGAUGGUCACAGUUUACCCAUGGUAGGAUAUUAAGAAAAGAAAGAUUACUAAUGAUAUACACAGAUGAUAGUGACAAAACCAGAAUCAAAAUGGAAAAUAAGUAAGGGAUGUUAAUUUCAUGAUUCAAAUUAUAGUGUGAUUACCAUAGGUAACAAUGAAUAAUAUGGUAUCAAUAGUAAAAGACAGACACAAAUAUACAUGGAAAUAUUUGAAAAGUAUGCCUAACAUUACUGGCACUAACACACAGGAAAAUGGUAAUGGUGAGGAACUAAAUGAAAAUAUUAUGGCUAUUACUAGAAUAAUGUAAAAGAUGAUACCAAUGUUUCAAUCUAAAUAAUAGAAAAUUUCAAGUCAAUGAUUAAUUUUGAAUAACAUAAGAAUAAAGUGAAAUAAAUAUGUGGCUAUAAAAAGAUCCCCAUAUACCUGGUUUUAGGCAGCUGUGUACAAUAAAAUCACUAUAGCAACUAUAAGAAUUUUGAGUUACUUGAUGUCACAAUGAUAGAACCUACCAAUAAAUCAACAGGUUACUUCUAGUGUGGCAUAAACUAGGUUAGUGAUGAUAUACCUAGGUGACAGUAAUAAUUCAAACAAAAUGAAAUUUGAAAAGGGAUGAACUCAUUAAGUACUGGAAGUUAGAAGUCCAAGAUGAAAGUAUCAACAGUGCCCAUGGCGUUACCACCUAAUGAAGUAUAUUAAACUAGAAUUCUCAGCAGUUAUUUAAUACUGAAUUCUAAUACGUUGGGAUAUUUUAAGCUUCUGAGAUAACAUUUUAAAUUUACACUAUAGUAAAAAGGCAUAAUGAUUCAAGGAACAAGUUUAACAAAUAAAAAGAAAAAAUCCUAGUUUAGUGGGAAUAUAGACAGUGGCUAAAAACAACAAUUUGAAUGGAAAAUUAAAGACUUCAAAUAAUAAAAUCAAUUUUUUAAAUUCUUUACUAAAAGCCUCAGAGAAAGUCUUUCAUUAUUUAUUAAAUGUCAAUGCAAAAAUGGAUUUAUAUGAUCCCUUAAAACUGAUUAAUUUGUGUGCAAUAAAGUGGAACUUUUCUCAAGUUUUCUUGACACUCUCACAGAAAUACUUAUGUUCAGGGACUGGAAGAAUUAAUAUCACCAAGAUGUCCAUACUACCAAAAUCAAUUUACAGAUUCAAUGUGAUCCCAAUCAAAAUACCAAUGACAUUCUUCCUAGAUCUAGAAAAAAAGGAUGCUAAAGCUCAUAGAAGCACAGAGACCCCCAAAUACCUAAAUCAAUCUUAUACAACAAAAACAAAGCUGAACACAUCACAAUACCAGAUUUUAAGAUAUAUUACAGGGUAAUUAUAAUCAAAACAGCUUGGUACUGACAAAAAAUAGAAAUGUAGACCAAUAAUAGAAACUCCAGAAACCAAUCCGUGCAUCUACAACCAACUAAUUGUUGGCAAAGGAGCUACCCUGGAGCCAGCGCAGUCUCUUCAACAGAUGGUGCUGGAAAAACUGGAUCUCCAUGUGCAGAAGUAUAAAGUUAAACCCCUCCCUUACAGCUUACACAAAAGUCCACUUAAAAUGGAUCAAAGACACAAAUCUACAACCAGAUUCCUUCCAAUUACUAGAGAAUAUUGGGGAAACUCUGCAUGGCAUUGGCAUAGAGAAAUACUUCUUGGAAAAUCCCCAGAAGCACAGAUAGUCAAAGCCAAAAUUGGCAAAUGGGAUUACUUCAAAUUAAGAAGCUUUUGCACUGCAAAAGUAACAUUCAGCACAGUGAAGAGGAAACUGAAGGAAUGGUUGAAAAUAUUGGCAAACUAUGAAACUGAUAAAAGAUUACUUUGCAGAAUCCAUAAAGAGAUCAAGAAACUCUGGGAAGAAUAGAGGAACUGAAGACCCCAUAAAUGACAGCUCCUGCCCUGCAGGAACCCCAUACACACAGCCUGGCCUCUCCCUGGUGACCACUCCAGUCCCCACUGCACAAUCAAGGAGACGCAGGGCUGCAAUCACACAGAUGGCUCUGGGGCCCAGAAGUCUCUGAGAGCAGGGCUGUGUCCUUUCACCAGCAAGAUCCUGCCUCCUCCUGAGACUCCUCUUGUUUCCCCAUGGGUCUUCCUGGGAGAAUCCUACCUGCUUAAGGUGCAGGGGACCAAGGACCUGGGCUAUCCUCCACUACUUUCCCAGGCCACAGCAGACAGGAGGAUCAGAAGUGGAGCAGCCAAGACUUGAACCAGUGCCCACAUGGAAUGCCAGUACUGCAGAGGGUGGCUUCAUCCACUACACGAGAACACUGGCCUGGAAGAGAGAAACCUCCAGAGCACUUUGAUAACUUCUCUGAAGACAAAUAAAGCAGUGUCUGAACAGUAAUACUGACUUUCUUCACCAUUACUUUGAUGUGUAGAUGAUAGAGAAUAAAGCAAAAAUAAUGCCCUGUGUUGCACUGUUAUCUUUAAAACUAACUUUAGUUAGUGAGAUACACACACACAGAAUAAAACCAUUUCAAAUAGACAAUACAUGCAUAGGGCUGCAUAUUUCAAAUAUAUUUAUAGUAAAAAUAAUUUUUGUGGAGUUACAUAACUCCCAGCAUUCUUAUUCCUGUCAAGGGAACAUAGAAUUUCAGUAUUUCACAAAUUUUGAUGGAGCAUAACUAUUAACUUAACUAGAGAGAAACAAUUACAAUUGGAAAAUGUUAACAGUUGGAAAAUCAAACCUUAUAAGUAUGCUAGAAGUUCCCAUACCAUCUGAACACUUGAGCCUGAAAUGGUAUCCAUUCCACACAUUUAUAUUCAGUAGUACAAGCUCAAACCUCAACUGCUCAACUCAGAGCCAACUAUCCCACAGACAGAAAAUAAUCAAAUUUGAUAAGAGUUGAAUAUUAUACUAUGGGUUGCAAUAAUGAUGAGAAAUAUCAUGAUUUCUCUGAUUUUGUAUCUCAUGCUCAUUUAAAUUCAGCAUGGUAUCUUCAAAUUCAUCAAAGUACUCCAUUAAAAUUCAUAACAUUUUUGGAAAUAAGGUGAAAACUGUAGUUUGACAGUUAUACAAUUAUUCAUGGGCAGGUAAAUACAUCUGAAAAUAUAUUUAAAUUAUGCCUUAAAAUAUGUUGUAUAUUAGUAACACUGAACAAAUCAAAUACUCUGAUUAGAAAAGAAAACAUAUCUAGCUUUUGAUGAUAAAGUAAAAUGUAAUAAUAUUUUCUGAGGCUUAAUAAGUACUGUAAGUUUGAAAUUUUAGAAAUUCAAUACAUGGGUCUGGCACUAUGGCACAGUAGAUUAAAUCUCCACCUGUGAUGCCAGCAUCCCCAUAUGGGCACUGGCUCAUGUCUUGGCUGCUCCUCUUCCAAUCCAGCUCUCUGGUCCAAGGCCUGGAAAGUCAAUGGAGGUUGGCACAAGUGCUUGGACCCCAGCACCCACAUUGGAGACCCAGAAGAAGUUCUUGGCUCCUGGCUUCAGAUUGGCCUAGUUCUGGCCAUCAUAGCCUUUGGAGAGUGAAUCAGUGGAUGGAAGACCUCUCAGUCUCUCUUGCCUUCUCUCUGUAACUCAGCCUCUCAAAUUAAUAAAUAACUCUUAAGAAAAAUCAAGUCUCAAAACAGCAUGAUAGGCUGGUGCCAUGGCUCAAUAGGCUAAUCCUCCACCUGCGGCACUGGCACACCAGGUUCUAGUCCUGGUCGGGGCACCGGAUUCUUUCCCAGCUGCCCCUCUUCCAGUCCAGCUCUCUGCUGUGGCCUGAGAAGGCAGUGGAGGAUGGCCCAAGUCCUUGGGCCCUGCACCUGCAUGGGAGACCAGGAGAAGCACCUGACUUCUGGCUUCAGAUCAGCGCGGUGCACUGGCCACAGUGGCCAUUGAACCAACAGAAAAGGAAGACCUUUCUCUCUGUCUCUCUCUCACUGUCCACUCUGCCUGUCAAAAAAAAAAAUCCAUCUACCCAUUAAAAAAAAAACAGCAUGCUAAAGAUUGAAUUUUUUUUAAUAGAAAGAAACUGAAUAUACUUGGGGCCAGCUUUGUGGCAUAGCAGGUAAAACUGCUGCCUGUGAUUUUACCAUCCCACAUAGAUACCGCUUUCUGUUCCAGGUGCUUCACCUCUGAUCCAGCUCCCUGAUAACAGUGUGGGCAAAGCAGUGGAAGAUGGACCAAGUAUUUGAUUCUCUGCCCCUCAUGCAGGGUAGCUGGAUGAGGCUCCAGCUCCUGGCUUUCACCUGGUCCAACGAUGGGAGUUAUAAUCAUCUGGGAAGUAAACCAGCAGACAGAAGAUUUCUCUCUGUGUCUCUCCUGAUCUCUUUAACUCUGACUUUCAAAAUAAAUAAGUAAAUCUAAAAAAUGAAUGCACUCAUCAAGCUGCACCUACUGUUUUAUCAUAAACUUAAUGAAUGCACUGAUAAUUCUAACAGAUGGAACUAGACAUAAAGAAUUAGAAUUUUAAUACUUACUAAUGUAUAGAAACCAAGGUGAGGGAUUACAUUCAAAAGAUGAGUAUAAAAACAUAUUUGACUUUGGAAUGUGUUGCUGUUAUAUUAAUAUGCAUAUAGUUCAUACUUCAGAAAAUUCACUUUCUGCAAAAUAGUCUAUAAAAUCAAAGCUUUGAAGGAAUCUAUCUCAAUCAAUCAUCUCUUUGUAUAAAGAACUUUCGAGUGCCCUUGGUAGAUACCAUUUUGUGCAAUAGUUCUAAACGUGAAAAUCAGAUGAUUGACUUGUAAAUAUCCAUUUUAUUUUUUCAAGUGAAACUAUACUUGAAUGCCAAUAUAUGGACAGGAAAAGCUUGCUGAAAUGAGAAGCCUAAUAUGCUAUCUCUCAUCAGCCUCUCCUUUUCUUAGGGGUUGUUUCUGAGCUAUUUGUGAGGAUGGCUAAGAUUUGUAGAACCAUUUAAACUUUAAACUUUAGGGAGAUUUUUCUUUCUCUAAGAUUUUGCUUUAGUUAUAAUCUAAAAGUGAGUUAAGCAUGCAUCUACAUUUUUAUUGAGAGUAAAGUUUGGACUUUCACAGACUGAUUUUUGAUUUUGUAAAUAGAUGGC